rnacentral:rRNA from 1 species
UACAGAGGCCCCAAGCGUUAUCCGGAAUUAUUGGGCGUAAAGGGUGUCAAGGCGGUCAUGUUAGUCAUUCGUAAAAUCCAGGAGCUCAACUUCUGGCCCGCGAGUGAAACGGCAUGACUAGAGGUUGGAAGAGGUGCGUGGAACUCACGGUGUAGGGGUGAAAUCCGUUGAUAUGCGUGGGGAACACCAAAGGCGAAGGCAGCGCACUGGUCCAAAUCUGACGCUACACACACGAAAGCCAGGGUAGCCGGAAUGGGA